CGCACCGCUACGGGAUGCGCCAUUGCUCCUCCCACUAAAAUCCCCAAUCCCCUUUCUUCCCCAAUCGAUCACAUCUCACUGCGCCGCCGCCGCCCCCGCCGCCUCCCCCGCACCUGACGACCCCCGCGCCCGCUCCGUCGCUGGAGUCGCCGCCGGAGCACUAGGAGGAGGAGGCCCGCGUCCACCAGGAGGAGGAGGCCCGCCGGAGCAUGUCUUCUUCCUCCGACCGACCCCAUCUCGCCGUUGCCACCGCUGCUCCGGUCCAUCCCCGCGGCAACCGAGGUGUCCACAAGCCCCGUGGCCUGCUGCGGUGCGGCAAGAGCUGUCGGCUCCGGUGGAUCAACUACCUACGACCGGACAUCAAGCGCGGCAACUUCACCGACAAGGAGGAGCAGUCAAUCAUCUAGCUGCACCAGCUGCUCGGCAACAGGUGCCCCCUUUACCCCUUGUCGCCUUCCUCCUCCUUCUGCUGCCAUGUACGGGCACCGCGGGCUUCCUUCAGUUGCCUGCUCAUGUUUGCUCUUGUAGUUCCUGAAUCCCUCUUAUAUUGUUGUAGGUGUUUAGUUCCCCUGCUCUUAUCAGUGUUAUAUCAUCUCUCUGAAUUUGUAUGUACUAGCCCUAUAGUGCUGAUGUAGUUUAGUGUUAGUCCGGGUUGUAAUCCCCAUGCUUUUUUUAUUUGUAAUUGCGGUGUAAUAUACUCUAGAAUUAUAGUGCCUGAUGGGGUCAUGGCGAUGCUCUUGCCGACUGAUGACUGGUUGGUCGUCACCACUGUCAGCCUGGUGUUCUAGUUAUGCCUGCAUUUGUUUGACUAUAUGUAAGAGGCGUCCGCGUCGACGGCUUGUGUUGAAUAAUUGGAACAGAGAUCUAGUAUGUGCUUAGGUUCAUGUGUCUUUGAACUUGGAGAUUGAUAUGCUGAAAGUAGUCCUGCAAGUGAGGCUUCCUUUGAA